rnacentral:rRNA from 1 species
UACGAAGGUGGCAAGCGUUACUCGGAAUUACUAGGCGUAAAGGGCAGGUAGGCGGUUUGAUUAGUCUGUUGUGAAAGCUCCCGGCUUAACUGGGAGAGGUCAACGGAUACUGUCGAACUUGAGUAUGGGAGAGGGUACUGGAAUUCCUGGUGUAGCGGUGAAAUGCGCAGAGAUCAGGAGGAACACCCGUGGCGAAAGCGGCUCUCUGGAACGGUACUGACGCUGAGACGCGAAAGCGUGGGGAGCGAACAGG